CCCCUCUCAGGUCACACCUGGAGAGUUCCCAGUACUCUACCAGUCUCGACUACAGGAGGGAGAGUCAGGCAGAGGCAUAUCCAUUCCAUUCCUAGCUCGGGCAGUGGCUAACGAGUGGAAGGCAAUUUGCUACAAAU
rnacentral:snoRNA from 1 species